rnacentral:siRNA from 1 species
CCCUAUACCUAAUUCUUAGCC